GGACCAUCAUGUCGGUCGUGCCUCGGUACGUACUGGUAUUGUUGGUUUCUCCCUUCUGACGAACCAUGAUGUCAUUUAUUUGAUGUUGUGGGAAAUCAGGACUGUUACUUUGAAAAGAUUAGAGUGUUUAAAGCAGGCUUUAGCUUGAAUACAUUAGCAUGGAAUAAUGAAAUAGGACGUUCGAACCUAUUUUGUUGGUUUCUAGGAUCAACGUA
rnacentral:rRNA from 1 species